GUCUAUGGUCAUACCACCCUGAACAUGCCUGAUCUCAUCUGAUCUGGGAAGCUAAGCAGGGUUGGGCCUGGUUAGUACUUGGAUGGGAGAUAUUUGCUCAGAUUUUGUCUUGUUUUGUGCC
rnacentral:rRNA from 1 species